GGAAUUUUGGGAUGUGGAGAUAUGGAAGCUGUGGUUUCCAGGUCAGGAUGCAGCCCCAUUAUGGCUAUACUCUCACAAUGGUGCUUUAUUUCAGAUGCUUAGGUCUUGGGAGUGUAAAUGCCCUAGCACGUGUUGCCUGUCUGGUACAAUACUCUCUUGGGAAUUUCAAAUCACUACCCAUGCUAGUGUCAGGGACUGUGUGGGCAGUGGAGCUCUCUCAUGGUUCUGAUUACAGCAGCCCAGAGCAGGGAAGUGGAACACUGAAGUUCUCUCGCUUACCCUUUCCCCGUAAUAGUGAAUCCCUCAAGGCUCUCAGACUAUCGUGGAGCCUGGGAUAGUCUUUAUUUCUCCCUUUCUGUUGAAGUCCAGUUUCUCAGUUUAUGGCUUCUGCUCCAGCCUGCAGCUUUCAACUCCUCAUGGGAGGGAGCAUGCAAGUGAACGAGGUGGGAACUGGAAUGCAUGAACUCUGGAAACAACCACCCACUUCGGAGCUGACAGGAGCAAACUUCAAUCACUCAGACUUCCUGCGCUUCAUCCAUCAUGAGAGGGAGCACACAGUGUCCCCAUCUGUCCCAUGCAGAUCCUACAUUACAGCUGCAGCCUCAUGGCUACCUCUUAAUUAACUGCCUCUGUGACUAAUAUUCAGAAAAACAAUCAGUUGUCAGCAGACCUGCAUGAUAAGCCAUACUAGAAAAGCCCUUCCCACUGGAAGAGAAUUAUUCCAAGUGAAAAUUCAGAUUUACAGGAAGAAGAAAGGCAAAAAUAAUAAAUACGCAGAAAUCUGCAGAAACUUGGAAACC
rnacentral:lncRNA from 1 species